GCUUCCAUGGCUCAGCUGGUUAGAGCGCCGGUCUCAUACCAUGACCUCUGAUUUAGAGGGUAAUCCGGAGAUCGCCAGUUCGAUCCUGGCUGGGAGCA